rnacentral:rRNA from 1 species
GACGAACGCUGGCGGCGUGCUUAACACAUGCAAGUCGAACGGAAAGGCCCUGCUUUUGUGGGGUGCUCGAGUGGCGAACGGGUGAGUAACACGUGAGUAACCUGCCCUUGACUUUGGGAUAACUUCAGGAAACUGGGGCUAAUACCGGGUAGGAGCUCCUGCUGCAUGGUGGGGGUUGGAAAGUUUGGGCGGUUGGGGAUGGACUGGCGGGUUAUCAGCUUGUUGGUGGGGUAGUGGCUUACCAAGGCUUUGACUGGUAGCCGGCCUGAGAGGGUGACCGGCGACAAUGGGACUGAGAUACGGCGCAGACUGCUACGGGACGCAGUAGUGGGGAAUAUGGCACAAUGGGCGGAAGCGUGAUGAAGCAACUCUGCGAGCGGGAUGACGGGCUUCGGGUGGUAAACAGCUUUCGGCGGUGACGAAGCGUGAGUGACGGUAAUGGGUAAAGAAGCCACGGCUAACUACGUG